rnacentral:rRNA from 1 species
GACAGAGGGUGCAAACGUUGUUCGGAUUUACUGGGCGUAAAGCGUGUGUAGGCGGCUUUGUAUGUCGGAUGUGAAAGCCCACGGCUCAACCGUGGAAGUGCAUCCGAAACUGCAUAGCUUGAGUCCCGGAGAGGAAGGUGGAAUGCUUGGUGUAGAGGUGAAAAUUCGUAGAUAUCAAGCAGAACACCUGCGGCGAAGGCGGCCUUCUGGACGACGAUUGACGCUGAGACGCGAAAGCGUGGGUAGCAAACAGG